AAAGAUGAUAAAGCAAAGAGACUGAAAGAGAUCAAAACCUUGCACCUGCAGGUUCUUUUUUUUUUUUUUUUUUUUACU
rnacentral:ribozyme from 1 species